AUUGAACGCUGGCGGCAUGCUUUACACAUGCCAGUCGAACGGCAGCGCGGGCUUCGGCCUUGCGGCGAGUGGCGAACGGGUGAGUAAUGCAUCGGAACGUGCCCAGUAGUGGGGGAUAGCCCGGCGAAAGCCGGAUUAAUACCGCAUACGACCUGAGGGUGAAAGCGGGGGACCGAAAGGCCUCGCGCUAUUGGAGCGGCCGAUGUCGGAUUAGCUAGUUGGUGGGGUAAAGGCUUACCAAGGCGACGAUCCGUAGCUGGUCUGAGAGGACGACCAGCCACACUGGGACUGAGACACGGCCCAGACUCCUACGGGAGGCAGCAGUGGGGAAUUUUGGACAAUGGGGGCAACCCUGAUCCAGCCAUGCCGCGUGCGGGAAGAAGGCCUUCGGGUUGUAAACCGCUUUUGUUCGGGAAGAAAUCCUCUGGGCUAAUACCCCGGGGGGAUGACGGUACCGGAAGAAUAAGCACCGGCUAACUACGUG
rnacentral:rRNA from 1 species